GACGACCGCUGGCGGCGUGCUUAACACAUGCAAGUCGAGCGGAGCGGCGAACGGGUGAGUAACGCGUGUGUAACUGCCCCCCUCUCUGGGAUAACAGUUAGAAAAGGCUGCUAAUACCGGAUAGUGGGGGAUGACUCGCGGCCUAUCAGCUUGUUGGUGGGGUAGUGGCCUACCAAGGCUCCGACGUGUAGCCGGCCUGGGAGGGCGACCGGACACAUUGGUCUGACAGACGGCCCAAACUCCGACGGGAGGCAGCAGUGGGGAAUAUUGCACAAUGGGGGAAACCCUGAUGCAGCAACGCGCGUGCGGGAUGACGGCCUUCGGGUUGUAAACCGCUUUCAGCCAUGACGCGGUAGUGGCAGAAGAAGCACCGGCUAACUACGUGCCAGCAGCCGCGGUAAUAC
rnacentral:rRNA from 1 species